rnacentral:misc_RNA from 1 species
UCCAGAUUUGUCACAAAAGUUUGAUUUUGGAAAGGGCAGUUUAAACUAUUCUCUUUCCUUUUGUGACAAAUUGAUUUUGAUUUUUGUGACUUUCUUCAUGUUAUUUGGUUGUGCAUCAGAAUGCUCCAAAGAAGGUAAGCUGUAUGAAAUACAUGUUCUAUGAAAACCAAUUUUGUCAGAGAACUUGAUCUUGAGAACAUUUCUAUUAUGUUUUUCUACAUGGGGUGAAAAUUUUGACCUUUUGAUAGCCAUGCACUGUCCCACUUUGCAAUCAUUCUGUAUACCAUAUAUAGUCCAUAGUGUGGUCUGCACAGAAUCGAAGCUCUCGCUUCAAUGCUGUCGUCACACAAGUUAGUGAUCAAGUGAAUGCAAGUUGAGAGAGUGCUAGAAGAUUGAUCAUAUAGAGUUAGGUGUAACAACAUGAGGCUGGAAAGUUAAGGGUGCUAUCAAACUUGCUCUUAGUUGAAAGAAUUUCAACCUGAGAGAGAGUCGAAAAGCAAACAUGCAAGAGCAUCUGUGAAAUUGGUACAGAUGUACUCGACACAAGAAGUUUAAAGCCUGUAUUAGAGAUGGAAAAAAUCUGGAUCAGGCUUCAAGAUUUAACAAGACACUGUACAUGCACCAUCCCCCUUUGAACUUUAUCCAGAUUUUUUUCCAUCUGAGGUUGAGAUGACCUGAAGUAUUCAUCAAGACUUGUUUUCAUUUUUAGGCUAGAGCCAACGGACUACAAUCCUGUGUUGUAGUCAUCCGGAUUCUGAGGGAUCUGUGUCAGAGAGUUCCCACUUGGACUCCUCUCAAUGAAUGGGCUAUGGAGUUGCUUGUAGAGAAGUGUGUAAGCAGUGGAGGGGCUAAUAUGAGUCCAGGAGAUGCCUUGAGAAGAGUGUUUGAAAGUAUCUCAUCUGGACUCUUACUGCCAGGUGGGCCAGGACUUUAUGAUCCAUGUGAAAAAGAUUCUGUUGAUGCUGCUUCAUCACUGACCAAUCAGGAGAGAGAAGACAUCACUGCUUCAGCUCAGCAUGCCCUGAGGUUGAUAGCAUUCAGACAAAUCCAUAAAGUUCUGGGAAUGGACCCACUUCCAGCCCCUAAACAUCUAAGACAGCGCAUGAACCCACGCAAACGUCGCCGCACAGACAGUGCCCCAGGAGAAGGGGAGGGAGAAGGUGAAAAGAAAGACAAGAAGGAAGAUGACGUGGACAUGUCUGAUGGGAAGUAGGAGUUGUUCAGAGAAAAAAUGGAAGAACGAUUGUGUGAAUUGGAACGAAUAUUUGUGUUGGAUAUUUUUUCUUAUGUUGUAUAAUUAUACUUGAAUUUAAAAAAAAAGUUUGUUUCUUUUUUAAAAUUGUACAAAUAUUUUGUUAAUAGGUGUAUUUCAAUUUUUUCCCUCCCCAAAAAAUAGUCCUUGUUUUAUUGCAAGGGUAGUUUUAUUUCAAAGCUGUUGAAGCUCAUCAGUUGAACAAGUUGCUUUCUUGGUGAAGCUUCCUGGUUUUGACAGUUUUGUUUUGUGCGUAAGGAUAGAACAAGGGAUCAUGUUUUCAAAUUUUGAUACAUUUGUGUUUUUACAAUACUGCAAUUCAGAGUGCACUGGUGUCAGUUUUAGGAAGAUUCCCAGAAAGAAACAGUGAAUAUCUUCAUUUUUGAAGAAAUUAUAUUUAUGAUCAUGAACAAUAUUUUAGAAAUGUAUCAUUGUUUUAAAGGAACAUAACAUGUCAUCUAAUUGGAUACAGUCAAUAUGUCAUACAUACCUUGUGUAAAAGGACAAUCACAUUUAUUGAAUUGUAUUUCAAAACUAAAAAAAAAAUUACUAGUGUACCAUUUUUCGUCAGUUAAUAAAGUUUGUAGACU